rnacentral:rRNA from 1 species
UACGAAGGGUGCAAGCGUUACUCGGAAUUACUGGGCGUAAAGGGCGCGUAGGCGGCCUGCUAAGUCGAACGUGAAAUCCCCGGGCUCAACCCGGGAACUGCGUCCGAUACUGGAAGGCUUGAAUCCGGGAGAGGGAUGCGGAAUUCCAGGUGUAGCGGUGAAAUGCGUAGAUAUCUGGAGGAACACCGGUGGCGAAGGCGGCCAUCUGGACGGAUACUGACGCUGAGACGCGAAAGCGUGGGUAGCAAACAGG